rnacentral:rRNA from 1 species
GACGAACGCUGGCGGCGUGCUUAACACAUGCAAGUCGAACGGAAAGGCCCUGCUUUUGUGGGGUGCUCGAGUGGCGAACGGGUGAGUAACACGUGAGUAACCUGCCCUUGACUUUGGGAUAACUUCAGGAAACUGGGGCUAAUACCGGAUAGGAGCUCCUGCUGCAUGGUGGGGGUUGGAAAGUUUCGGCGGUUGGGGAUGGACUCGCGGCUUAUCAGCUUGUUGGUGGGGUAGUGGCUUACCAAGGCUUUGACGGGUAGCCGGCCUGAGAGGGUGACCGGCCACAUUGGGACUGGGAUACGGCCCAGACUCCUACGGGAGGCAGCAGUGGGGAAUAUUGCACAAUGGGCGGAAGCCUGAUGCAGCAACGCCGCGUGCGGGAUGACGGCCUUCUGGUUGUAAACCGCUUUCGCCUGUGACGAAGCGUGAGUGACGGUAAUGGGUAAAGAAGCACCGGCUAACUACGUG